rnacentral:rRNA from 1 species
UGGGGAAUUUUGGACAAUGGGCGAAAGCCUGAUCCAGCAAUGCCGCGUGUGUGAAGAAGGCCUUCGGGUUGUAAAGCACUUUUGUCCGGAAAGAAAUCCUUGGCUCUAAUACAGUCGGGGGAUGACGGUACCGGAAGAAUAAGCACCGGCUAACUACGUGCCAGCAGCCGCGGUAAUACGUAGGGUGCAAGCGUUAAUCGGAAUUACUGGGCGUAAAGCGUGCGCAGGCGGUUUGCUAAGACCGAUGUGAAAUCCCCGGGCUCAACCUGGGAACUGCAUUGGUGACUGGCAGGCUAGAGUAUGGCAGAGGGGGGUAGAAUUCCACGNGUAGCAGUGAAAUGCGUAGAGAUGUGGAGGAAUACCGAUGGCGAAGGCAGCCCCCUGGGCCAAUACUGACGCUCAUGCACGAAAGCGUGGGGAGCAAACAGGAUUAGAUACCCUGGUAGUCCACGCCCUAAACGAUGUCAACUAGUUGUUGGGGAUUCAUUUCCUUAGUAACGUAGCUAACGCGUGAAGUUGACCGCCUGGGGAGUACGGUCGCAAGAUUAAAACUCAAAGGAAUUGACGGGGUCAUAGCUGUUUCCU